rnacentral:rRNA from 1 species
GUUACGGUGGUCAUAGCGUGGGGGAAACGCCCGGUCCCAUUCCGAACCCGGAAGCUAAGACCCACAGCGCCGAUGGUACUGCAUUCGUGAGGAUGUGGGAGAGUAGGACACCGCCGGACAAC